AUUGAACGCUGGCGGCAUGCCUUACACAUGCAAGUCGAACGGCAGCACGGGUGCUUGCCCCUGGUGGCGAGUGGCGAACGGGUGAGUAAUACAUCGGAACAUGUCCUGUAGUGGGGGAUAGCCCGGCGAAAGCCGGAUUAAUACCGCAUACGAUCUACGGAUGAAAGCGGGGGACCUUCGGGCCUCGCGCUAUAGGGUUGGCCGAUGGCUGAUUAGCUAGUUGGUGGGGUAAAGGCCUACCAAGGCGACGAUCAGUAGCUGGUCUGAGAGGACGACCAGCCACACUGGGACUUAGACACGGCCCAGACUCCUACGGGAGGCAGCAGUGGGGAAUUUUGGACAAUGGGCGAAAGCCUGAUCCAGCAAUGCCGCGUGUGUGAAGAAGGCCUUCGGGUUGUAAAGCACUUUUGUCCGGAAAGAAAUCCUUGGCCCUAAUACGGUCGGGGGAUGACGGUACCGGAAGAAUAAGCACCGGCUAACUACGUG
rnacentral:rRNA from 1 species